AGAAGUUGUUUCGGCUUUGAAGGAAGAGGAACAUAAACAGAGUUCAGAGUCCUCCGGUGCUGAUGUUCAAUUAUAUGUUGUUUGUAGGAGAGGGAAUGAUUCUCAAAGAGCUGUCAAGUAUCUCCAGGAGAAAGGAUUCCCUUCAGCUAAGGAUAUCAUUGGUGGAUUGGAGGGUUGGGCCCAUGAGGUAGACCCCACUUUCCCCUCCUAUUGAUUUGGUUGCCCAUCUCUUGUAUAUUUUCUCUUUAAACACUGCCCCUUUGCCUUCCCAUAUAUAUGGUUCACUUGUUUGUAUUCACCAAUCAGCAUGAUAUUUUUU
rnacentral:misc_RNA from 1 species